ensembl:lncRNA novel transcript
GUGCUGGAAGGAGUACUAAGAGGAGAGAUGCUUUGCUUUAGUAGGAUGGCAGCUUUGGGAAAGAGACGCGAGAGUGAGUGUGCAGAGAGCUUGUUCUGAGUGCAAGAGAUAAGUGGGAUGAAUCCUGUCUUAGAGGCAAUCAAGCAAGAGAGGAUGGGGUGGCAGGCACUUCAGCUCUCUAGCCCCUCCUUCCAGGGCAGAGCCAUUUUAGAGAUCCACGUCUUUUCCCCAUCCAUAGGCUGCUGAAGCCAGAAACAGCCCAGCACUUAAGAGGGGAGCGGAAAAUGACAUCACUAGUCUGGGCAGUAUCUUCUCAGCCUAAACCAUUAUUCCCUCCCUCCCUUUUAACAAAGACUCCUAGUUUCCCACCCAAUAUCCAGUCUCCAUUUUCUUCCUAACUGAAUGUUGACUUCUUCCCCCUGGGAAACAAGAUAUCAAGGAAAAUGAUGCACCUUGUUUGCCUCCCUUGCAAGUGGGCCUGGCCCAUCCAUCAGAGAAAUGAUGCAACUGAGUCACAGAGAAGUUAAGUAAUCUGCCUGCCGACACUCGGGUCGAUGCCGCCUCAUUCCAUCACUCGGGCAAUGGAGCCAAAGGCCACGUUCACAACCACUAGGCUGUCCCAGCCCCUUGCUUCAAAGAUAGCCAGGCAGGAGUUAUUUUAUAGAAUGGAAGUAAUUUCUACGGGGCCAAGCAAUAAUAAGGAAAUUGGAAGUCAAGGACUAUCUUCCGAAUGGAGAAGAAGCUCCAUCAACCACAGAAGGAAAUUAUGAUCACUCCUGCCAUCCUGCUCCUUUGUGUAUCCAGGAUGAAGGGGAGAAUUGGAGUCUUGCACAAUGAAAGGACAACAUUGCUGCCAAAACAAUCCAUCGUGACUGUAGACAUAUUUUCCACCCUCAUCCUGCAGGUUUUCUGCCAGUUGUUGGCCCCUCACCAAUUUUGCUCCUGGGCAGUCUGAGGUGGAACAUAAUUUUGUAUAAAACAAAUUAUGCUCAACCUCACUUAUAAUCAGGGAAAUGUGAGUCAAAACCACAAUAAAAUAUCACCUCAUGCUGUUUAGGAUUGCUGUUAUCAAGUAGACAAGAAAGAAGUGUUGGUGAGGGUAAGGAGAAAAUAAAAUCUUUGCACACUGUUGGUGGGAAUGUAAGUUGGUAAAGCCACUAUCAAAGGCAAUAUGAAGGAUUCUCAAAAAAUUAAAAAUAAAAUUGCCAAA